rnacentral:rRNA from 1 species
ACCUGCGGAAGGAUCAUUAUUGAAAUAAACCUGAUGGGUUGUUGCUGGUUCUCUUGGGAGCAUGUGCACACCUUGUCAUCUUUAUAUCUCCACCUGUGCACCCUUUGUAGACCUUCUCAGGUCUAUGUUGCUUCUUCAUUUACCCCAAUGUAUGUUAAUAGAAUGCUGUGAAUAUAAAAUCUAUACAACUUUCAGCAACGGAUCUCUUGGCUCUCGCAUCGAUGAAGAACGCAGCGAAAUGCGAUAAGUAAUGUGAAUUGCAGAAUUCAGUGAAUCAUCGAAUCUUUGAACGCACCUUGCGCUCCUUGGUAUUCCGAGGAGCAUGCCUGUUUGAGUGUCAUUAAUAUAUAUCAACCUCUCUUGUUGAGUGGUUUGGAUGUGGGGGGUUUUGCUGGCCUGUUCAGCUCCUCUGAAAUACAUUAGCAGAACAACCUGUUCAUUGGUGUGAUAACUAUCUACGCUAUUGAAUGUGAGGGGCAGUUCAGCUUUCUAACAGUCCUUGGACAACUUAUCAUUUAUGUGACCUCAAAUCAGGUAGGACUACCCGCUGAACUUAAGCAUA